rnacentral:rRNA from 1 species
CCUACGAGUGGCAGCAGUGAGGAAUAUUGGUCAAUGGGCGGAAGCCUGAACCAGCCAAGUAGCGUGCGGGAUGAAGGCCCUACGGGUCGUAAACCGCUUUUGCACGGGGAUAACACCCUCCACUUGUGGAGGUCUGCAGGUACCGUGCGAAUAAGGGCCGGCUAAUUCCGUGCCAGCAGCCGCGGUAAUACGGAAGGCCCGAGCGUUAUCCGGAUUCAUUGGGCUUAAAGGGAGCGUAGGCGGGCGUUCAAGUCAGCUGUAAAAUCGCGCGGCUCAACCGCGCCCCGCAGUUGAAACUGGACGCCUUGAGUUCACAACAGGCAGGCGGAAUUCGUGGUGUAGCGGUUAAAGGCAUAGAUAUCACGAGGAACCCCGAUUGCGAAGGCAGCCUGCCGGGGUGCGACUGACGCUGAGGCUCGAAGGUGCGGGUAUCAAACAGGAUUAGAUACCCGAGUAGUC